rnacentral:rRNA from 1 species
UACGUAGGGGGCGAGCGUUGUCCGGAAUUAUUGGGCGUAAAGAGCGUGUAGGCGGUUCGGUAAGUCUGUCGUGAAAACCUGGGGCUCAACCCCAGGCGUGCGGUGGAUACUGCCGGGCUAGAGGAUGGUAGAGGCGAGUGGAAUUCCCGGUGUAGCGGUGAAAUGCGCAGAUAUCGGGAGGAACACCGGUGGCGAAGGCGGCAUCCUGGACCGACAUUGACGCUGAACGGCGAAAGCUAGGGGAGCAAACGGG